CGCAAGGUAGAGCAGUUGGCAGCUCGUCGGUCUCAUAACCCGGAGGUCCCAGGUUCGAGUCCUGGCCUUGCUA
rnacentral:tRNA from 1 species